UAGUCCACGCCGUAAACGAUGAAUACUAGAUGCAGCGGGUAUCGACCCCUGCUGUGUCGUAGCUAACGCGUUAAGUAUUCCGCCUGGGGAGUACGGCCGCAAGGCUAAAACUCAAAGAAAUUGACGGGGGCCCGCACAAGCGGUGGAGCAUGUGGUUUAAUUCGAUGCAACGCGCAGAACCUCACCUGGGCUUGAAAUCCUCGGACAGCUAUAGAGAGAUAGCUAUUUCUUCGGACUACUUACAAGGUGCUGCAUGGUUGUCGUCAGCUCGUGCCGUGAGGUGUCAGGUUAAGUCCUAUAACGAGCGCAACCCUUAUCGUUAGUUGCCAGCAAGUAAAGUUGGGGACUCUAGUGAGACUGCCGGUGCAAACCGAGAGGGAAGGUGGGGGAUGACGUCAAAUCAUCACGGGCCCUUACGGUCCUGGGGCUACACACGUGCUACAAUGGGUAUGGGACAGAGAGCAGCCACUAC
rnacentral:rRNA from 1 species